UGUUUAUCAAAAACAUAACUUAUUGUUGUUUAAUAAUAAGCUUAAUCUGCUCAAUGAUAAAUUAAAUAGCCGCGGUACCUUGACCGUGCAAAGGUAGCAUAAUCAAUUGGCUUAUAAAUGAAGUCUGGAAUGAAUGAAUUUAUGAAGGAUAUCUGUCUUUUAAGUAUUUAAGUUAAAUUACUUAGUAAGUGAAAAUUCUUAUUAUAAAAUAAUAGACGAGAAGACCCUAAAAAUUUUUCAAAUAUUAAUUUAAUAAAUUAUUUUGUUUUAUUGGGGCGAUAAAAUAACAGCAUAAACUUAUUUAUUUUUAUAUGAGUUAAAAUAUAAAGAAUAACUAAAUUACUUUAGGGAUAACAGCAUAAUCUACACUUAGGUUUGUGACCUCGAUGUUGGACUAGGAAAUUAAUAGAUUAGAAAUUUAUUAACAUGGUUCUGUUCGAACUGAAGUUCCUACAUGAUC
rnacentral:rRNA from 1 species